rnacentral:rRNA from 1 species
GUAGCACAAUCACUUGUCCCUUAAAUGGGGACGCGUAUGAAAGGCAACAUGAGAGAAAACCUGUCUCCUAAGGAAUGCCAAUGAAAUUGAACUGCCAGUUCAAAAGCUGGUAUAAAAAAGCAAGACAAAAAGACCCUGUGGAACUUUAAUUAACUGCUUUACAUAAUAAAACCAGUAAUUUCAGUUGGGACAACUUUAGAAAAAAUAAACUUCCUAAUUUUACUAGACUAACUAGUCCAAAACAACCAUGACCCAGUAGUACUGAUUAACGAAACAAGCUACCCCAGGGAUAACAGCGCUACCUUCUCAAAGAGUUCAUAUCAACAAGAAGAUCUACGACCUCGAUGUUGGAUCAGGGUACCCAGACGGUGCAGCAGCUGUCAAUGGUUCGUUUGUUCAACGAUUAAUACCCU